rnacentral:piRNA from 1 species
UAGGCUCAGAGACCACAACCACCCA